rnacentral:lncRNA from 1 species
AACAAUUCCCUCAUAUAACAAUUCUCUCUCUCUCAUAUAAUAAGCACGAAUCUGGUUUGAACUCAUGAAGCUGGUGUUUUUGAAGCUGGAGAUAGCAUGAGUCUCUCUCUCUCUCUCUAUAUAUAUAUAUAUCGAAUCUUAGUUGAUGGGCAAGAGUCUCUCUCUCUCUCUCUAUAUAUAUAUAUAUAUAUCUGGAAUCUUAGUUGAUGGGCACGACAAUCUUGGUGAAAAUAUCUGCAAAUCUCUUAGUGGUAAGCUAGGAUUAUUCUCUCUGCAAACAAAGGUAAAAAUCAUUUCUCUCUCUAAUUUUGGGGCUUUGCAAGAAUUUCAUGUAUGUAUAUAUAUAUAUAUAUAUAUAUCCAUGAAACACAUCAUUAUGUAUAUAUAAAUUUAAUUUAUGUGAACUAAACUGUACUAAUAUUUUUAGUAAUGUUAAAGAUUAUAAUAUGUAUAUAUAAAAAGUCCAAAAUUUCUCCUAGAACUUUUUUUAGCCAAAUCUAAAUGUUAGUAUUUUAGUCAAAAUGAGGAUUUUGGUAUCUUAGUGAAAUCUAAAUAUAUAUAUAUAGUCAAAACGAGGAUUAACUCAGGCUGAACGGUUAGGUGACCCAAACAUGUAACUUUCCAGGAGAAGGUGUGUGUUCCAGAUGAUAGUGAGUUAAAGAAGGACAUCAUGAUAGAGGUCCAUAGCUUAAAUUUUGUUAUGUAUCUUGGAAACAUUAAAAUGUAUCAAAAUAUGCGACCCCGAUUUUAGUAGAACGGGAUAAAAAGAGACAUAACUGAAUUUGUUUCUAACUGUUUGGUAUGUCAGCAAGUCAAAGCAGAGCAUCAACGCCCAGGCGAGCUACUUCAACCAUUACAGAUCCCGGAAUAGAAGUAGAAACAUAUCACCAUAGAUUUCGUGACAAGAUUACCUAAUGCACGCUCAAGACAUGAUGUCAUCUAGGUAAUUGUUGACCGGUUUACCAAGUCUUUCCACUUCUUGACCAUCAGGAUGACCGAUCUCUUGGACAAGUUAGUAAGAAUGUAUAUCCGAAAAAUAGUUAGAUUGCAUGGAGUGCUAGUGACAGUAAUGUUCAACAGGGACUCUAGGUUCAUUUCUCAAUUUUUGAAUGACUUUCAGCAAGCCAUGAAAACGAAACUGUUCUUUAGUACUACAUUCCAUCCUCAGAUCGAUGGACAGUCAGAAAGGACAAUCUGUACACUUGAGGAUAUACUCCAAGCUUGUGUCCUUGACUCCGAGGGCCAUUGGGAUGACCAUCUACCCCUGAUUGAGUUCGCCUACAACAAUGGUUACCAAUCAAGUUUUGGCAUGGCUCCGUAUGAGACGUUAUAAGGGCAUCCAUGCAGAUCAGUGAUUUGUUGGAAAGAAGUGGACGAUAGAAAACUGUUCGGCCCAGAUCUGGUAGAGAAGACUAUAUCCAAAAUAGUUAAGAUCAUGAAAAACAUUCAGACAGCUCAAAGCAGACAGAAGAGUUAUGCAAACACCCGGAUGAGAGAUUUAGAAUUUGAAAAAGACAAUCGGGUGUUCCUUAAGGUCACUCCUUUCAAUGGAAUCAGUAGGUUCGGCAAGAGGGGGAAACUGAACUCCUAAUUUAUUAGACCAUUUAAAGUCUUAGACAGAAUUUGUACCGCCACCUACAGACUAGUACUGCCUCAAGAACUUUUCAAAGUCCACAAUGUGUUUCAUAUGUCUAUGCUACGCAAGUACAACCCGAAUCCUUCUUAUGUCUUGGCCCACGAGUCUCUUCCACUCCAGGAGAAUCUGUCCUACGAGGAAGUGUCGGUCGACAUUGUGGAUCGAAAGAGCAUAUUACUCAACAACCAAAAAAUUUCUUUUGUAAAGGUCAUAUGGCAGAACCACACACUGAGGGAGGCUACAUGAGAGCUAGAAUCAGACCUUAUAGUCCAAUAUCCCCAACUGUUUGAUUGAGAGUGAGAGACAAAUUUGAGGGACCAAAUUUCUUUUAAGGAGGGAAGAGCUGUAACACCCACAAAUUUUUGUGUGGUGAUUAAAUAAUUAAUAAAUAUAAAUUUUAUUAAUUUAUUUUAUUUUAAUGUAUUUUGUUUUAUUUAAUUUAGAGUAAAAAAUGAAAUAAAAUUGAAGGGGAUUUAAUUGAAAACAAUUUGGAAAAAAAAAGAAAANNNNNNNNNNNNNNNNNNNNNNNNNNNNNNNNNNNNNNNNNNNNNNNNNNNNNNNNNNNNNNNNNNNNNNNNNNNNNNNNNNNNNNNNNNNNNNNNNNNNNNNNNNNNNNNNNNNNNNNNNNNNNNNNNNNNNNNNNNNNNNNNNNNNNNNNNNNNNNNNNNNNNNNNNNNNNNNNNGAACGGUCUAGAUUCACUCCCUAUUUAAUCGCGAUCGGACAGUCGAGAUCAAACAAGAUAGACGGUCCAGAUCGAAAGCAGAUGGAUAUAAAUAACCCCAAUCUGCACUAAACCCUAACCCUAACGGUCAAAACCAUUCACCGAAGAAGACGACCCAGCCGCUGGAGAGCUGACCACCGCCACCCGCCGCCACACCGGAACCUUUUUCGACAAUCAAAAAAGGUAAAAACUUUCUCUUUUGCACGAAAUUCAAUUUUAAGCUCACCCAUAGCUAAAUCGGAGUGAAAAGACCGGCUAGUUGGCUGAAAAAUACCAGCAAAGUCCGGUGGCGCCACCAUGGAGAAUUUCACAAAAUGACUCUAAUGAGGCCCUUUUCGAUUCCCGUUUCGUGUGAUUUUUUUACUGUUGUGAUCACUGUUUUCUUCUCUACAGGUUGACUGAAGCAAAACAGUCAACCGUAAUGUGAGUCGGAGGAGCUGCCGUACCUGAAAGCCCCUCCGCCGGUGAACAGUUUUUAGUAUUUUUUGACCAAUCGAGAUUCUUUAACGUAGGUUCUCGCAUGAAUCGAUGUAAAAUCGGUCGAAUUUGGCCGAAAAUGGCUGACCCGAGGCGGACCACAGCCACAGGCGGUGGUGCCGUCACCGGAGCACGGCGGAGCCGCCAUGCCAAAUUUUUGAAAUUGGCCGAGUUGGCCCUGGGACUUAUUUUGGGUUUAUUUGGAACAUUUGUAUGUACUAUAAGCACAUUUCAGUUCCCGGAGAAAAAAUUCAGGGAACCCAGGGACCGCUUGUAGGCAUAGUAAACUGUUUAGCUCUUCGGCGUUAAAUCGAGUAAAGAUCUCUCAUCAUAUUCUCUAUCAUAGAAUUGAAGUUUAAAUAAAUAAUAAUAUGGUAUUUUGUGCGAUUUUAGUAAACAUGCAUAAUUAAUUAUUGAUUGCUAAUGGAGCUCGAACUGAAAAUUGUUCUCUAUUAAUAUCUGUUGAUGUAUUUUACAGUCUAAAAGUAAAACAGUGUCUUAUCGAUUUAUUUUAUAAUUUGUAUGCAUGAAUUACUGCCUUACGUAACUAUUGUUUGAUUUGGGAUUUGAGACAUGAUUGCAUUACUUUAUGUAUAUUUAUUUGCUUAUGUGAUUAUGUUUGAUUUGGAAAUGGAGACUAAAGAAAAAUAGGAAAGUGGUGUGAUUAAAUAAGCAGAUCAAACGGCAGUCUUAAUAGAUAUCUUGGGAGAUGGUGGACAAAUCGGGUACAUAGAGAACCCUACCGUGAAUGUUGUCUCAUACCGGACAGGGUAUGGACCGGACGGGAUAUGGGGACGUCCCACUUCACCCUCAUACCGGAUGGGGUACUGAGGUUUAAUGAUUUGGUGCUCAUAUCGGACGGGGUAUGGGGACGGCCCUGUAAUUAAGAUUGUUAAAGAAAAUGGUUCACGUGUAGCGGAAAUAUCCCUAUAAACCUCCAUAGAUACUAGUAGGCUGGUGAAAAGAGAAACAGUUAUGGUUUAAUUUAUUGUUAACGGAUAUGGAUUUAUAAUAUGUUUUAUGUUACUGAUUGUUCAUGAAAUUAUGAUUUGUAUGAUAUUAUUGUUUUUAUAGAUUGUUUUUAUAAAUUCUACUAUGGUAAGUGAACGAGAAAUGAUUUUAUGAUUGAUAAAUGAAUUAAUUAAAUUUAAUACUCCAUUAGUGAUUUUCGAUUUUAUACCAACUUUUAUUUCUGUGCCGGUGAUAUAAUGUGAUAUCCUUAUUGGGUUAGUGUAACUCAUCCUUUAUUUAACCAUUUCAGAUCAAGAAAACCAGGUUUCAGAGCCCGAUCCGUAAGAAGAUUACGAGUAGAUGCUAGAUAUUUUCUAUUUUUCAUUUGUUUCCUUAUUUCUCGUGUUUCUUUCAAAGAAUUAAUUCCGCAAUAUUAUUCAGUACUUUUAAAUUAUUAUGUAAAGAAUGUAAAUUUUAAAUUUUUAUUUCAUUUCCGCACUUAAGUUAUUAUAUAUUUUCUUUUAGAUUUCCGAAGUCGUUACAGUGUCGGCUUGGCCUUUCAUAAGUGGAAACAUAAUAAAACUUCCAUGGUAGUAUCCGAGUAAAUACUUUUAAUUUCUCUCAAAUCAUAAUAAUAUUAUUUUAUCA